CCUACGGGAGGCAGCAGUAGGGAAUAUUGCUCAAUGGGGGAAACCCUGAAGCAGCCACGCCGCGUGGAGGAUGAAGGUUUUCGGAUUUUAAACUCUUUUUGUUAGAGAAGAUAAUGACGGUAUCUAACGAAUAAUCACCGGCUCACUCCGUUCCAGCAGCCUCUGUAAUAAGGAGGGUGCCAGCGUUACUCGGAAUCACUGGGCGUAAAGAGCGCGUAGGCGGGAUAGUAAGUCAGAUGUGAAAUCCUAUGGCUUAACCAUAAAAUUGCAGUUGAAACUGUUAUUCUAGAGUAUGGGAGAGGUAGGUGGAAUUCGUGGUGUAGGGGUAAAAUCCGUAGAGAUCAAGAGGAAUACUCAGUGCGAAGGCGACCUGCUAGACCAUAACUGACGCUGAUGCGCGAAAGCGUGGGGAGCAAACAGGAUUAGAUACCCCAGUAGUC
rnacentral:rRNA from 1 species